UUCAAGAAAAUGUCCUUAUAAAGUUGGUUCAAUAAUAUGUUCUUUAAUUUCACCUCUGUUGGAACACUACAGAUAAUGUUCUGUUUUUGCUUAAAAUAAUCAUUAACCAUUUCAGACAAUUCUAUAACAACUGAUCAAAAAGCCACAUCAAAUUUGAAGAUUUAAUAGUCUGGAAAGGCAUCCUGUCAGCACUUGCACAUUAGAAUGUAACACGAGCUUUCUGAUUUAUAUGUAUUAGUGACAUACAAGAAAAGAACAGUAUAAUUGUUUCAGCCUUCCUACUUUCCCUUUCAACGUGUGUUAAAAUUUUAUGUAGUCUUAAAAUCCACAUUUAGAAUCUUACCUGUUUCUAUAAUUAGUAAAAUGCCAAGGUAGUGAUAAAAUAUUAUUUGGCAUUGAAGUAGCAGGAAGAAUAUUAGUGUUAGCAUCAAAAAAGAUCAAUGUGGAAAUGCAUUUUUGUAUGUGUCAGGUUUAAGAGAUUGUGCCAGUGACAACAGUCUAAAAAAGAUAGUUGUAACAGUUACAGUUUAAAUUCUGAAAGACAGUCUUUAAAGAAAUAGGAAAAAUUAGGAUAUGUAUAAACCUAGACCAACCUCUUGUAAAUAAACGUGAUAUAAACAAAAAUCUGUCUUAAACUGGCGCUAUUUACAGUUCAGAAAAGAAUCUUUUUCUUUAAAAUGCUCCUGAUUUUUUUUUCUAUUUUAAGAGGUACUUGGAUUUGUAUGUAUUUUUCUAUGUCAAAACAUAUGUACGCUUCACUCUUAUUCCAGUGUUCAUAAUUGUUGAUAUGCUGUUUCUGUCCAUUGAGAACAUGCAGUAAAAUAGCAUUUGGUCUAAAAUUUCCUCGAAGGGAAAGUAUUACAUGAGGAUAAAAAGUGGAUUUUCAUUUUUAGACCAGAAAGUGUUACCGUAGUAUCAAGGGACAGAAAAGAAGACAUUUGGCUUGUGGGCAAUAAUGUUUAUUAUCCUACUUGAAAUAAUGAUUGGGGACCAGCAUCAAAUAUCUCAGGAUAAAUGGUCUAUCCUGCUUUUCUACGAACAUGUCUUAGGAGGCUUAAUUUCCAUUUUCAUAUAUCAUCUCACAAGCAAUCUUUAAAUGAAAAUUAAUGGAUUAGUACCCUGAAAGAAAUCAUGACUUGUGUUUCUGUUUUGCCUGUCUUCAGCUUUUGAUGAGAAAAAUUUAAAAUGUAGUUCAGGUAAGACCCAAGUACUACAUUACUAUAACAGAAUGAUUCUGUUUUUGUUCAAACAUUGGAAAAUAUUUAAGCACUAGUAUUCCCUGGAGGAAAAACUGCAAGUUGGCAACUUAAAGAAAUUAACUUUUUGUCUACUUUGGAUAAUUAGUUGACUUCUUCAGUAAAAGCAAUAGUGUGUAAUGUGAUGUCAUUUUGUUUGUGAUGUUAAGUGACCAAAUAAAAAACAUGUUAAAAUUGUAAGCCUUUCUGCUAAUGCUUUUGCUGUCUUCCUGUCCUUCCCAUCCC
ensembl:lncRNA